GAUUGUCCCCUGCACUCCAGCCUUGUGACAGAGCGAGACUCGGUCUCAAAAAAAAAAAAAAAAAAAAAACAGGUAGUCCCAACCUACAUCUCCUUCUUUAUUCAGAUGAUUAAAAUAUUUUUUUCCAGUGAGUUUGGAAAGGAGAAACAAUAUUGUAAAUAAUAUUUUGACUAGCUGUAGAAAGUCUAUAAGACAAGGAAAAGACAGUUAUUUCUUGCAUUCUUUAUGUCUAUACAUAUAAAGAAAAAUAGACAAAACCAUGACUGCUUCUUUUACAUGUGAAAGAACAAUGAUAUUAUUUAUCAUGGCAAGUGGUAGAAAAAUUGUUGUCCUUGGAUGUAAUUGUUUUUCUAGGAGUUGCUUUUGAUACCUAUAUCAAUUUAUAAUUCUUUGUUUGAAAUGAAGUCUUUACAUGGUUCAUUUAAGAGCUAGAUUGGUUAUUUCAUACUGAUAAGCAUUCUACUCUUAUUUGUUAUGCAUUUUCCUUAGUGGUAGAUUUUACUUGUACUGAACUUGAAAUAUAAAGGAGAAUACAUUUCUAAAUUAUUUUAAAUGGAUAACACUAUGAUUUGUUUUAUUUAAAUAGAAGUCUCUGCACCAGUAAGAUUAAUACAGUAUGUGAAUGUCUAUUUUUUAUAUCAUAAGUCAUACUAAAUAUAUGAGAGAUAAUACAUGAAUAUAUUAAAAUAUUCAUUUUUUAUCCAUGAGUUUAUCUCAACAAGUUUUUUUAAUUGUAGAUAGUUUUUAUUCUUUCCUUAUAUCUAAAUAUGAAUCAACCAAUAAAAUCAUUCUAACUCUAACCCUGCUUUUUUUUUUCCUUUUCAACUAAAAGUGGGUCAUCCACAAACUAAGUUUUUCAUUUAGCAUGAUCAAAGAACUGGUACUAUACAGUUUUCAAUUUAGUAAUAUUUAGGCUGUUGCAAUAUCAGCCUUCCAAAAUCAAGUUUUAUGCUGUAAAUGCCAACAAUGGCUUCUCAGUAAUAGUGUUCCUAAAGGGCAUUGUAAAGUUGAGAAAAAUAAUUUGAGCAAGUUAAUUUGACAUUUUGGGCACUUUCACUUCGGCUGAUGUGAAUUAAGUAAGAGAGUCAUAGAUGACUCAAAAUACCAAGCUUUGUCUACUUUCAAACUUAAUUUUGAAAAGCUGUUCCAUGGAAGUUGUGAUACAUGUUUAUGGUUCCAUUUCUUCCUAUUUUUUCCUGAGUUAUUGUUAUGGAUCCUAAGAAUUGUGCAGCUUUAUUUCUUUUUAUGAUUGCAUACACAGUAGUUGGAAAUACAAUGGAGAAGAAUGAACUAUAAUUUAAUUUUAUAAUGUUCACUAGUGAUUUUUAUUGGAAACUGAGGUAAGAUCGAGAUUCUAACAAUUAUAUUUUGGAAAAAAAAAUAACUUCAGCUAGAGCUAGAAGGCUUUCAUCUUCAUUUGACAUGGAAGUGUCUUAUGAACAAUGUCCUAGCAAUUUGUUUAAUGAAAGAAAAUUUAUAGCAGGUUGUGUAGCUAUCAUUAUGAGUUAUCUUUGUACUUAAUUUUAGAGUACCUUUAGAACAAUCAUACCCUGUCACACCCUUUGGUUUUAUUUUUGACUAUUUAAAAUAUAAGCCCUUAGGCUUUAUUUCUAAUUUGUGGAUGGGCAACUCAUGCACUUUAUAGGAUUCAAUUACAAUAAAAUAUAUGUUAGAGUAUAAUGUAUAAAGGUUUGUGAAAAAAUUCAUAUAUGUAAAUAUUUGAAUAUCUGCUUUCAAAAUUUCAUAUUUGAAGUUCUGUCUCCUCAUAAUACUCUCCUAAAUUAUCUCUGGAGGUAAAAUAAGCCUCAGAAAUUCAUCUGAACUUUCAAACAAGGUUCUACCUAAAUUUGUGGUUAGUAAAUAAUGAUGUGCUGUUGUUUGAAUUUCCAAUUUUCAGAUGUUAAAUUUUGUUGUUUAUUCAUUAAGCAGAUAUGUUUUAAGGGUUACACAUAUAUAAUGAAAUGUUUCAAAUAUUCAAGAUAGCAAAAUAAAUGACAUACAGCAUCUCAAAGAGUUCACAGUCAGCAUGGGGAGAUGAGUAAUUUUAAAACCAUGGAAAAAUAGUGAUCAAGAUGACAAAUGAGAAUUGACCUCCAGAUGUGACAAACUUGAUAAGGGCAGUUCUGAUUAAGUAAGUGAGGACAAAAGUUUGAUUGGAUUGGGUUUAAAUGAUGCUGAGAGGAGGGAUUUUAGAAACUGCUCUCUCUAAGAAUAUUGCUGUAAUGGCUAGUAUAGGAAUGGCAGCUAAUGCAGACUUGGACCAAAAGAUGCUUUUUGGUUUUGUGCAUGUGUUUUGUUUUUCAAAUGCAAAAUGGAAACAUGUUUAUAUUUGGAUAGAAAUGAUGCAGUAGAGAAGGAAAAAUUGAUGGUAGAGAGAAAGAGCUAGAGUAAGUGUCAUGAAUAGACAUACCGGGACUGGGAUUUGGUGAAUAAGUGGUGGAAUUUGCCUUUGCUAGGAGCAUGAACGCUGCAUUUAAAGUAACAAGAGGAAACAGAAUAAAUGGGCACAGAAAUAGUGUGGCCAUUUGUGGAAGUUUUUUGUUUUUGUUUUUUUAAUCAGUGAUGUAGGAAACAAGGUCAUCUGCUAAAAAUUCGAAUAGUAAAAACUUUGUUGGUUUUCAGGAGAUGAGAGUAUGUGAAAUAAUUGUCCAAGAGUGAAUGGAAUAGGAAAAUACGGUGAAAUUGUGAUUUGCUGGUCAUGAGUUAGCAAAGCUUUAUGUUUUUCUCUAGCUGCUUUACACUGUGUGUGGGUUGGCAAGGAGUAAGUGGUAAGCUGGGUUUAACCAAGGUUUUGCUUUAGCUAAGAGAAUAUAUUAAGCAAGGAAGGGCACAAGGAGUUUAUGUUACAUGCAAGUUAAUUUCUAUAAUAUAGUGACUGCAGUGUUUAAACUGGAUCAAAAAGGAAGUGGGGACAAGAGGGUGGAUAUGUAUGAUACAGUGAAAAGUCGAUAGGAUCAAUUGAUUGUAAGUUCUUAUGUAUUGAAAGAUUAUUUGAUUUGGAAUCCUCCAGAGAGGAAGGUGAAAUGAUUAGACCUUAUGAUUUACUUAACAAUUAAAUUGCUUAAAAUUGAGAUUGACCAUGAGAAUGAGUAACUAGAGGAAAGAAGAUGGAUCAGAUUAUGUGAAGAAAGGAAAUCAAAGAGCUGAGGUUUCAGUUUUGGAAGAAUUAUCUUUUUGAAUACUGGAGUUACCAAAAUUUUGACAAGGAAUUAUCUUGAAUAGCUUGAAAACAAGGCAAAAACUAAAAUUUUCAAGGAUCAAUCUAGAAAGAAAAAAAAUGAUAAGAGGACAUCUGAAAUGCAAAAAUAAAUAGAAACCAAAGGCAAUGGUACAUAAUUAUUAUUUCAACAUAGUAUCUAAUCUGUUAAUAAAACAUACCUAAUUUCUUUGAGGCCUUUGAUUAAUCUGUCAUUUCUUAUAUAUAAAGUGUAAGCCAUAAAAGAAAAAAAGUUACAUUUUUUGUACUUCUUCAAAAUAAAAAAGUCCUCAAAAUAUACUCUCAAAUAAAUGAAAAAAAAAAAAAAACCAUAAGAGAAUCGAUUUGCAGAACAUAUCUAGUAAAGAAACUUGUAUUCAGAAUAUGUAAAAUUUCUAACUACUCAAAGGUAAGAGAAUGAACAAACAACAAAAUAGAAAAUAUCUGAACAGACGCUUCACCAAA